AGUGUUCUUGGGACGUAUCCACCAUGACCUGGGCUCUGUUCAUCCUCACCCUCCUCACCCAGGACACAGGGUCCUGGGCCCAGUCUUCCCUCAUUCAGCCUCUCUCUGUGUCUGAGGCUCUGGGACGGACGGUCACCAUCUCCUGUGGUGGAAGCAGCAAUGACAUUGGCUAUUACUCAGAUGGUGUCUCCUGGUACCAACAGCGCCCAGGCACAGCCCCCAAACUCUUGAUUUAUGAUACAAGUUAUCGGCCCUCAGAUAUCCCUAAUCGCUUCUCUGGGUCCAAGUCUGGCAACACAGCGACCCUGACCAUCUCUGAGCUAAAGGCUGAAGAUGAGACUGAGUAUUACUGUUGCUCACUUGUAAAAGGUGGUAAUACUUUCCACAGUAGUUCAUACUUUAGGAAAGUGAGAUAA